rnacentral:rRNA from 1 species
ACGGUGAAACUCAAAGGAAUUGACGGGGGNCCGCACAAGCGGAGGAACAUGUGGUUUAAUUCGAUGAUACGCGAGGANCCUUACCUGGGCUUAAAUUGCAGUGGAAUAACGUGGAAACAUGUUAGCCUUCGGGNNGCUGUGAAGGUGCUGCAUGGUUGUCGUCAGCUCGUGCCGUGAGGUGUCGGCUUAAGUGCCAUAACGAGCGCAACCCUCAUCGAUAGUUACUAACAGGUUAAGCUGAGGACUCUAUCGAGACUGCCGACGUAAGUCGUGAGGAAGGUGGGGAUGACGUCAAAUCAGCACGGCCCUUACGUCCAGGGCUACACACGUGUUACAAUGGGGGGUACAAAGGGCAGCUACCUGGCGACAGGAUGCUAAUCUCAAAAACCUCUCUCAGUUCGGAUUGGAGUCUGCAACCCGACUCCAUGAAGCUGGAUUCGCUAGUAAUCGCGCAUCAGNCGCGGCGCGGUGAAUACGUUCCCGGGCCUUGUACACACCGCCCGUCAAGCCAUGGGAGCCGGGGGGACCUGAAGUAUGCAACCGUAAGGAGCGUCCUAGGGUAAAACUGGUGACUGGGGCU